rnacentral:misc_RNA from 1 species
GAUGAAGAACGUAGCGAAAUGCGAUACUUGGUGUGAAUUGCAGAAUCCCGUGAACCAUCGAGUCUUUGAACGCAAGUUGCGCCCGAAGCCACUAGGCCGAGGGCACGCCUGCCUGGGCGUCACACGUCGUUGCCCCCCCAUCUACUCCUUCGGGAUUGCGGGGGGGAGGAUGAUGGCCUCCCGUGCGCCUAGCCGCGCGGUUGGCAUAAAUACCAAGUCCUCGGCGACGCACGCCACGACAAUCGGUGGUUGCGAAACCUCGGUUGCCCGUCGUGUGCGUUCGUCGCGCAUCGAGGGCUCGAAAAAAUGCUCGGCUCCGGCUGGGCUUUCAACGCGACCCCAGGUCAGGCGGGGUUACCCGCUGAAUUUAAGCAUAUCAAUAAGCGGAGGA